rnacentral:rRNA from 1 species
UGGCUCAGAUUGAACGCUGGCGGCAUGCCUAACACAUGCAAGUCGAACGGCAGCACAGCAGUAGCAAUACUGUGGGUGGCGAGUGGCGGACGGGUGAGUAAUGCAUCGGGACCUACCUGAACGUGGGGGAUAACGUAGGGAAACUUACGCUAAUACCGCAUACGUCCUACGGGAGAAAGCGGGGGACCUUCGGGCCUCGCGCGGUCAGACGGACCGAUGUUCGAUUAGCUAGUUGGUAAGGUAACGGCUUACCAAGGCGACGAUCGAUAGCUGGUCUGAGAGGAUGAUCAGCCACACUGGAACUGAGACACGGUCCAGACUCCUACGGGAGGCAGCAGUGGGGAAUAUUGGACAAUGGGCGCAAGCCUGAUCCAGCAAUGCCGCGUGUGUGAAGAAGGCCUUCGGGUUGUAAAGCACUUUUAUCAGGAGCGAAAUACUGUCGGUUAAUAACCGGCGGGGCUGACGGUACCUGAGGAAUAAGCACC